UUGAUUUUCUGUUUCUCUCCUGGUUCCUGUAUCGAGGUGUUUCACCAAAAACAGUGAGUUGACAAAAACAGGAACCAUUCGUCCAUGCCCAAACACAGAUGACCGCUGACCUCAAGGCUUGGCCCCAACAUUAACCUGAGCUCAACUAAGCUGACCCUGACCCUAACACCACUCUUCAUCUUAUUGUGUGAUAAGUUCAAAUGUGUUUCAUCUUUUAUUUCAACAUCAUUUUCCCACAGUUUCUUUCUUCUGAAUCAAAAGUGAAUCCUUGUUACAGCAAGAAAAGUGAAGUCUCCCCAUGUUUGACCACUUCCUCUUUCGCUGCCCUUCGCACAGAAAUCAAGACCUGCUGAAGUCAAAUGUCAAGACAGAAGAAACACACACACGUGCACACACAGAGGGAGGUUUAUUCACCAGUCACACACACUCAGAUAUUCAUUUUGAUGGUGUAAAGGAAAAAAAACCUUCCGAAAAUGUUAUGGGGCUGUGCUACCCUCUGGUGGCUAAAAGAGAAAUUACAGGUUGAACCAUACAUGAUCUGUUUGUCCCAUUUUAAAAAGAGGAAAAAUUAUAUUUUUAAAGUUGGUAUUUCUCAAUGUUCCGAAUGAUGUGUAAAAUAGUUUCCCUAUAAACAAUAGACACUAAAAAGCAAUCCACUAAAUUAUUAUUAUUAUUAUUAUUAUUAUUACUACAAAAAAAAUUCAAUUUUUUGGAACGCAGCUGUUUGUUAAACAUUAGAACAAAAUCAGAAAAAAUAAUUGUCACAUAGUUUUGUUUUAUUGUAUGUUAUUUUUAAUCCAAAUCCACAAGAGCGCAGCAUCAGUUCACAUACUCCAUUGAAAUGAAACAGUUAAUCGUGUUGAUGAGCAAUACGUCUCAGAAUCCUGUGUAGAAAAUAUUAUACAAAUAGUUUUAAAGGGUUAUUUUUAUUUAUUGUUAUUUAUAGUAUACAUGUAUACGUAUAUUGUUUUUAUUUUGAGGGGGGAAGAGUAAGCAUGCUGCACCACAAGAAGCGGAAGACUCAAACCGGAAGUUACAUUGACCCUUGAAAAACAAAUGUUGUAAACAAGUUUUUCUUUUUAUUAGAAGAAAAAGUGCAUGUGGUAGCUUAUAUGGUAACAAUUCAAUGUAACGUUUACUUUUGCAAAAUAAAAUCCCCCGAAGAAGAAAAAAAACCCAUUUUGACAUCAAGUUAGCUUGCGUGUUUGUGGACGGCGGGCGGAAACCGUCACAGUUAGCAUGAAUAUGCUAAUUCCCGGAAAGGUAAAUUUGUGUUUAUUGCCUACAUUGCUUGACGUCACUGGAACCGUUUUAAAGUCAGCAACAUCAGAACAGGAAGUCGAUAACAGAACAGGAAGACAUUAAGGACACAUCAGUACAAAGUCGUUGACUUCGGGACAAGAAGCCAAGAGAGGACGUGGACACCAGGACAGAAGGUAGUGGACAGGACAGUGGGAGUCAAAUUCUGGGACCUCAGAGCAGGAAGUG